rnacentral:rRNA from 1 species
AACGAACGCUGGCGGCAGGCCUAACACAUGCAAGUCGAGCGAAGCCUUCGGGCUUAGCGGCGGACGGGUGAGUAACGCGUGGGAACGUGCCCUUUGGUACGGAAUAGCCCCGGGAAACUGGGAGUAAUACCGUAUGUGGUCGAGAGACGAAAGAUUUAUCGCCAAAGGAUCGGCCCGCGUUGGAUUAGGUAGUUGGUGGGGUAAUGGCCUACCAAGCCGACGAUCCAUAGCUGGUUUGAGAGGAUGAUCAGCAACACUGGGACUGAGACACGGCCCACACUCCUACGGGAGGAAGCAGUGGGGAAUCUUAGACAAUGGGUGAAACCGUGAUCUAGCCAUGCCGCGUGAUCGAUGAACGCCUUAGGGUUGUAAAGAUCUUUCAGUGGGGAAGAUAAUGACUGUACCCACAGAAGAAGCCCCGGCUAACUCCGUGCCAGCCGCCGCCGUAAAAC